GGAGAGGUGGCUGAGUGGUCGAAGGCGCCCGCCUGGAAAGCGGGUACACUGGGCGACUGGUGUCGAGGGUUCAAAUCCCUCUCUCUCCGCCA
rnacentral:tRNA from 1 species